UACAGAGGCCUCGAGCGUUGUUCGGAAUUACUGGGCGUAAAGAGAAUGUAGGUGGUCAUGUAAGUCAGAUGUGAAAGCCCUGGGCUUAACCUGGGAAGUGCAUUUGAUACUGCUUGGCUGGAGUGCGAGAGAGGAAAGCGGAAUUCCAGGUGUAGGAGUGAAAUCCGUAGAUAUCUGGAGGAAUACCGAUGGUGAAGACAGCUUUCUGGCUCGUUACUGACACUGAGAUUCGAAAGCAUGGGUAGCAAACAGG
rnacentral:rRNA from 1 species